rnacentral:rRNA from 1 species
UACGUAGGUGGCGAGCGUUGUCCGGAUUUACUGGGUUUAAAGGGUGCGUAGGCGGGCUUUUAAGUCAGCGGUAAAAAUUCGGGGCUCAACCCCGUCCGGCCGUUGAAACUGGGGGCCUUGAGUGGGCGAGAAGAAGGCGGAAUGCGUGGUGUAGCGGUGAAAUGCAUAGAUAUCACGCAGAACCCCGAUUGCGAAGGCAGCCUUCCGGCGCCCUACUGACGCUGGGGCACGAAAGUGCGGGGAUCGAACAGG